rnacentral:rRNA from 1 species
AGUGAACGCUGGCGGCGUGCUUAACACAUGCAAGUCGAACGCGAAAGGGUAGCAAUACCCCGGUAGAGUGGCGAACGGGUGAGUAAUGUGUGGGUAAUCUGCCUUUCAGAGGGGGAUAACCCGGCGAAAGCUGGGCUAAUACCCCAUAAUGUUGCUUGGUCCUCGGACCGAGUAAUCAAAUGAUGGCCUCUAUUUAUAAGCUAUCGCUGAAAGAUGAGCCCCACAUCUAUCACGCUUGUUGGUGGGGUAACGGCCCACCAAGGCGACGACGGAUAGCCGGCCUGAGAGGGUGUCCGGCCACACUGGAACUGAGAUACGGUCCAGACUCCUACGGGAGGCAGCAGUGGGAAUCUUGCGCAA